rnacentral:rRNA from 1 species
CUGGAUGAAGGUUAAACUAGCUUAUUAAGUUUGUAAAGCUAAAUAGGAGCUUAAAGUUAAGGUAAGAAUGCUUUAAUUUUUUAGGGGACGAUAAGACCCUAGAAGCUUAACGAGAGGGCUGUUUGUUUUGUUUUAUAAAUUUGUUCGUUUUACUGGGGCGGUAAAAAUAAUUAAGCUAUUUGUUAUUUAAAGGAUCCUUAAAAUAAAGAAAAAAUGGAGAAGUUACUCUAGGGAUAACAGUGCGAUAUAUUUGGAGAGAUCUUAUUGAUAAAUGUGUUUGCAACCUCGAUGUUGAAUUAAAAUGUCUUUAUGAAGCAGAAAGCAUAAAAGAAGGUUUGUUCAACCUUUAAAUUUUUACAUGAUCUGAGUUUCCAAACCGGAA